GCCCCGCCUCGCACCAACGCCUCGCUCCAUUGGCCAGCCCGGCUCGUCCUUGCCCAAUGGGAAGGAGGGAUGUUGCCUAGGAGGCGGAGCCCCAAGCGUGUGAGUCUGGGAGAGGGUCCGGAGAGGCGGAGAGAGGGAGAGACGAUGGAGGUUGCCACAGCGCCCCUUAUAGGACUGGAGGAGGAUCUGUCCCGCUGUCCUUCGGGCUGGACUACAACGGUAAAGCCCAGGUUUCUUCAGCAAAGAUAGAGCCGGUUAGUGAUAAGCGCUGGAGCUGUCUCGACUACAGCUUAGUAAAAGAAAGGGGAGACAUAAACGGAAGAGUGCAAUGGAAAGCUUUAUAUGAUAGACCUCUGUGUCUAGAGGACGGUAACAGGGAUGGCACAAGUUGAAUCUUGAAAAACAUGAUGGGUGUUGAACAGGUGGGCAGGGCAGGACGUCGAGGCCCAUUUUAGUUAGAUCCGUAGUGUAUUUAAUGUGGUGGGCAUCCCCUGGAGGAGGGCAUGGCAACUCACUUCAGUGUUCUUGCCUGCAGACUCCCACGGACAGAAUAGCCAUAGAGUUGCAAAGAGUCAGAUAGGACCGAAGCGACUUAGCACGCAAGCACGUAUUUGGGGGCAUGGGGGAAGAAUCAAGGGAAGAAAUCAUAUCACUUAAGCCGGAAGAAAUUUGAACUUCGUUCUCCAGGCUAUGGAGUGAAGUAGAAGGGUAUUUUUCUUUAAUCAAGUUGAAGGAUAUUUUAUGUAUAGUAAAACAUCAGUUGUAAAGCUUCCCUGACGGCUCAGUAGUAAAGAAUCCGCCUGCCAAUGCAGAAGCUUCUAUCCCUGAUCCCGGGAAGAUCUCACAUGUCGCUGAGCCACUAAGCCCAUGAGCCACAACUACUGAGACUGCGCCCUAGAGCCUGUGCACUGAAACAAGAGGCCCCCACAAUUAGAAGCCCCAAGCACCACAACAAAACGGAGUAAUCCCCCGCUUGCCAGAACUGGAGAAAGCCGUCGCAGAGCAAGGAAGACCCAGUACAGACAAAAAUAAAUAAAUACAAUUAUAGAAGAUAAAUUAUACUAAACAGAUCGGCCCUGGACUUUGCUCUCGAUUGUUCAGCAAGUGGAGAGCCGGCAGAUAUUAAUCACAACAGGACGUGGUCUCAUGAAUUCAGUGCAGCACAGUUAGAGGGAAACAAACCUGGUAAGAGAAGCCAACAGAGAAACCGGUUUGCCGGGGAGCUGGAUCCAGCCUGGGGAGGAAAGGAAACCCGAGAAUGUCCCCACGGGCCGGGCUGCUUUGGCCAGGUGUCCAGCGGAGGGCAGUGGUGAGCAGACAGUCCCGCGGAGACGGAUCCCUGAGAGCCGACUUCAGCCUUUUCAAGAUCCCAACGGAGUGCAUAACCCUGCCUUAGCUGAGACAGGCAACAGUGACUAUGGCUGGGAGAAGAAGACACAGAAGAAAGUUGUCCUCCAGGAUCAAGGCUAAGCUGCCUCAAUUUUAGGAGAAAAGGCUUGUCCCUGACCAGUCCAGGACUUCCUGUCACCUCUUGCCUAACACAUCCGUCUGGCUGUGAAGUGAUUCUCUGCAUCCUAUGCUAUGGUAACCGGAUCCAUACGGACCCCAGGACCAGACAUCUUAGAACCUUGAAUCCAAAGGUAACCUUUAGAUGGAGUUACCCAAUUCUGGCUCCUCUAAGAAGAGAUGCCGUGGGACCUAUUGCAAAGGGCUUUGUCGAAGGCUUUUGUUUCUGGGCAGAACUGACUCAUCAUUUCCCCCAGAUAAGUUUGCUCUCUGGGAGGUUUCCAGGCCCCCAUCCCUCCAGUUGGCCGUUUCUCCAGACCAGAUGGUUCAUUUUAGAUCUCAAUUUGCAACGUGCUACCCUUUGUGGGCACAUGUUCUGGAUUCAUCCCAAACGGAGCAGCUGAUUCACUCGGACGUUCUGGGAAGCCCUCCCCGUUUGAUUCCACCUCAGCACAUCAGCAUAGAAGCUGCGAGUCAGAUUUCCAGUUUGUUGUGGGGAGCCUAUUGAUUCUAAGCCCAGAAGUGCAGUCCUGGGAGACUGACGUCAGAUCUCAGGCAGGGGGCCUGGGCGCCCCCAGAGGGUCUUAGGGUGUGGUGCUGCCUUCGGGAGGGCUGCUCCCUCAAGUCCGUCAGAGGUGGACUCUGGUGGGAUCAUGACCCGUUCUGUGGCCAUUUAAUAUUUUGAAUAAAAGCAGAGGAAAGAAUUCAUGACCAAUAUGAGCUCCGAGAUUUUAAGUUUAAACCGGAUAGCCUUUCUCUAGCUUCUCUCCUUGCCAGUUACCCACUGCUUAUUCAGUAGGCAGUUGUUGAUCACGUACUGUGCAUCAGACGUUGUGCUUAGGGCUCAGGGAUAAGAGUAAAAAGCUGAUGCUUGCCUUCAAGGGACUCAGUGACUAAUGUCUGAGAUAGGCGGGCACCGAGAACAAAGUCAGUGGAGCUGACGUAACGCAGUGGUCAAGAGCUGAGAUUCAGGAGCCAGACCCCCCAUGUUCCUGCUCUGCCACUUUGCAAUGAACGUCUGUUUUCUUUAUUCCGAGAACAUGGCAGAGGAAUUAACUCAGCUCAUCCCCCAAAUCGUCCUGACUCUGAGCGGCUUUCUCUGGCUCCCCUCUCCGCUCAGGGAUAUGAAGAAGUUAUGUGUGAAAUCACAGCAGCCUCACAGAGGAGCAUCGGGAAAUACUAGCGGCAGGCAGCCCACCUUCUCUGAGGUCGAUGGCUGUUUUCUAAGAGCGGUGUCAGAGAUAGUGGCUCAAGUCACCACAGCUUUGUGAGCAGCUGCCAGAGUACAGACUGACGGUGCUCAAGUCUCCUCCCGGUGUGCAAAGGCCUGCUUGCCCCUGAAGGACCUGCCAUCGGUCAUCAUGGAGCCCCUCAUGGGUCAUUCUCACCCAGGAAGGACGGCUAUCAUAACCCCAGGCCAGCCAAUGGUACAUCUGUGUCUUGCAGUGGAAAAAUUGAGGCCCAAUUAAAAACUUCCAUGUAUCCAAAAUCAGCAUCUAUUAGGUGAUAUGAAAGAAUAAUUGUUAAUUUUGAUAGGUAUCAUAUCAUGGCAUGAUGACAACAUAAGAAAAUGUCCAUAAGACUGCCUUGGCAGUCUGGGGGUUAAGACUCCAAGUUUCCAAUGCAGGGGGUCCAGGUUUAAUCUCUGGUUGGGGAACUAAGAUCCUACAGGCCACAUGGCCCAAGAAAUAAAAAUAAAUACAUUUUUUUAAACAAGGAAAAUAUCCAUAGUUGUAUAGAUGCUUACUGAAGUAUGUAGUAGUGAAAUGAUGUACCAUCUGGGAUUUGCUGUGAAAUAUGUUAGCAGAAACAUAUUAAAUGGAUAACCAACAAGGGCCUGCUGAAUAGCACAUGGAUCUCUGCUCAAAGUUAUGUCGCAGCCUGGAUGGGAGAGGAGUUUGGGGUAGAAUGGGUACAUGUAUAUAUAUAUAUGGCUGAGUCUGUUUGCUAUGCAUCUGAAACUAUCACAGCGUUGUUUACUAAUCCACUAUAUCCCAAUGCAACAUAAAAAGUUUAAAAAAUGUUAGUAGAAAUAUAAGAAAGAAAAAAAGAUUGACGAUGAAGGACACAAAACCCUUUUAAUGGUUGAGUAUGUUCUUUCAAUUUUUGUGGGUGAUUGGACAUUUUCAUAAUUAAAGAAUUAAAGAUACUGCGAAUAGUGUUAAAAGACAAGACAUAGACUGGAGAAGAUAUUUAGAACACAUGCAUCUGAAAAAGGAUUCCUAUCCUAAGUAUACAAAGGACUACAAAGCAGUUUAAAAAAAAUCAUCAACCUCAUAGAAAAAAAGGGCGUACGUUAGAACAAGCAAUUCCACUCCCAGAAGGGGACACUUGGAUGACCAAUGCCUACACUCUUUGGUGAUCAGAAAAAUGCAAAUUAGAGAACAAGACACCAAUUUAUGCCCGUUAGAUGAGCAAAAAUUUUUUAAGUCUGGUAAUAUGAGUAUUACUUUGUCAACAAAGGCCUUUCUAGUCAAGGCUAUGGUUUUUCCAGUGGUCAUGUAUGGAUGUGAGAGUUGGACUAUAAAGAAAGCUGAGUGCAGAAGAAUUGAUGCUUUUGAACUGUGAUGUUGGAGAAGACUCUUGAGAGUCCCUUGGACUGCAAGGAGACCCAACCAGACAAUCCUAAAGGAGAUCAGUCCUGGGUGUUCAUUGGAAGGACUGAUGUUGAAGCUGAAACUCCAAUACUUUGGCCACCUGAUGCAAAGAGCUGACUCAUUGGAAAAGAUCCUGAUGCUGGGAAAGAUUGGGAGCAGGAGGAGAAGGGGACAACGGAGGAUGAGAUGGUUGGAUGGCAUCACCGACUCAACGGACAUGGGUUUGGGUGGACUCUGGGAGUUGGUGAUGGGACAGGGAGGCCUGGCGUGCUGCAAUUCACGGGGUCGCAAAGAGUCAGACACAACUGAGCGACUGAACUGAUCUGAACUGAACUGAAUACCGAGUGUUUGUUGCUGUGUAGUUUAAUACAUAUACUUAGAAAGCAGUUUGGCAAUAUCUGCUAGAAAUGUUUAUAUUAAUAUUCUACAACCUAGGAUUCUACUUCUAAAUAUAUACCCCUCAGAAAGUCUUGGGCACAUGUGCAACAUAUACCUGGAACACACACUUGGAUGUCCAUUACAGCAUUGUUUAUAAUAGUUGAAACUAGAAAAAAAAAAAAGGAGAAAUAAUUCAUGACAUAUUCAUAUUAAUGGCACACUACACAAAAGUUUAAUGAAUGUAUUCCAUUUUAUAUAUAUAAUUAUACAUAAAUCAUAAAUAUGAAUCACAUAUAUACUCAUAAUUAUAUGUAAUUAUGGAUAAAUUUCCAAAACAUAAUAUGAGUGUUGAAUGAAAUGAAAAUU